GGCUUCAUAGCUCAGUGGUAGAGCGUUUGCACCGGAAUCGCAAAGGUCAUGGUUUCAAAUCCCGUUGGAGCCU
rnacentral:tRNA from 1 species